GAUGAACGCUGGCGGCGUGCUUAACACAUGCCAGUCGAACGAUGAAGCCCAGCUUGCUGGGUGGAUUAGUGGCGAACGGGUGAGUAACACGUGAGUAACCUGCCCUUAACUCUGGGAUAAGCCUGGGAAACUGGGUCUAAUACCGGAUAGGAGCGUCCACCGCAUGGUGGGUGUUGGAAAGAUUUAUCGGUUUUGGAUGGACUCGCGGCCUAUCAGCUUGUUGGUGAGGUAAUGGCUCACCAAGGCGACGACGGGUAGCCGGCCUGAGAGGGUGACCGGCCACACUGGGACUGAGACACGGCCCAGACUCCUACGGGAGGCAGCAGUGGGGAAUAUUGCACAAUGGGCGCAAGCCUGAUGCAGCGACGCCGCGUGAGGGAGGACGGCCUUCGGGUUGUAAACCUCUUUCAGUAGGGAAGAAGCGAAAGGGACGGUACCUGCAGAAGAAGCACCGGCUAACUACGU
rnacentral:rRNA from 1 species